rnacentral:rRNA from 1 species
GUGCCAGCAGCCGCGGUAAUACGAAGGGGGCUAGCGUUGCUCGGAAUUACUGGGCGUAAAGGGAGCGUAGGCGGACAUUUAAGUCAGGGGUGAAAUCCCAGAGCUCAACUCUGGAACUGCCUUUGAUACUGGGUGUCUUGAGUGUGAUAGAGGUAUGUGGAACUCCGAGUGUAGAGGUGAAAUUCGUAGAUAUUCGGAAGAACACCAGUGGCGAAGGCGACAUACUGGAUCAUUACUGACGCUGAGGCUCGAAAGCGUGGGGAGCAAACAGGAUUAGAAACCCUUGUAGUCC